rnacentral:rRNA from 1 species
ACUUGGAUAACUGUGGUAAUUCUAGAGCUAAUACAUGCAAACAGAGUCCUGACCAGAAAUGGAAGGGACGCUUUUAUUAGAUCAAAACCAAUCGACGUCCGUUCGACUUGUCGACGGCGCCGUACUCCUUGGUGACUCUGAAUAACUUUUGGCAGAUCGCACGGUCUUCGAACCGGCGACGCAUCCUUCAAAUGUCUGCCUUAUCAACUGUCGAUGGUAGGUUCUGCGCCUACCAUGGUUGUAACGGGUAACGGGGAAUCAGGGUUCGAUUCCGGAGAGGGAGCCUGAGAAACGGCUACCACAUCCAAGGAAGGCAGCAGGCGCGCAAAUUACCCACUCCCGGCACGGGGAGGUAGUGACGAAAA